rnacentral:rRNA from 1 species
UACGGAGGGUGCAAGCGUUGUCCGGAUUUAUUGGGUUUAAAGGGUGCGUAGGCGGCUCCAUAAGUCAGCGUUGAAAUACGGCAGCUUAACUGUCGGACUGGCAUUGAUACUGUGGAGCUUGAGUAAAGUUGAGGUAGGCGGAAUUGAUGGUGUAGCGGUGAAAUGCUUAGAUAUCAUCAAGAACAUCGAUUGCGAAGGCAGCUUACUAAGUUUUAACUGACGCUGAGGCACGAAAGUGUGGGGAUCAAACAGG